rnacentral:lncRNA from 1 species
AUGGACCUCCGGCGCGGAGGCCCCGCCACGCCGCUGGACCGCCAGCCGGCCCCCGGCCCCGCCCUCCCGCGCGCCACCCGGCUCGGGCGCCCUGACGGCUGGGUGGCUCCGAAAGCGGACAGCGGAGAAGGGCUGUGCCAGUCACGUGCGUUUCUUCUCUCCGAAUUUCCUCUCGGUCAGACCACCCCAUCCUCCCUGAGCAGAGGGCGGCACAGCUCAGGGCGUUGCGUGAUGAGCAGACGGAUGCUAUGCGUGCGGAUGGAGCCGCAGUGCCUCACCAGAUGGCUCAGCGCAGUUUUCCAGAGUGUGAACAACGCUAUGAAGGAGAAUGAGCCGAUCCCGAAAAUGGGAAAUAAUGCAACAGAGGACACGAACACUCAUCAGCCAUCUGAGACGGGUGGACGGAAGCAAAAGCCUAGCGCCAGAAGGAAACCUGGGAACGGGCCUGGUUCACCCCUUGGCUCCCGGACCACACCUAAACCCUUAAAGCCCUUAGGAGCCUACUGGGCUGAAGACCUCCAAAGACAAUGCCUAAUCUGCCUUAGAAACUCAGUGUUUCUAAGAAUACUCGCUGCCAGGAAGUUCGCCGUUGUGAGUAAGUUUGGGCUCCCCUCACACCCAUUUCCUCCAGCUCUGAGCUCGGGUGGAGAGGGACUCUGGGUACACGGUCCAGCCCGGCCACACGGGUCGGCACCAGCCCAGCCCUGCCCACCCCCACCAUCAGCCCUCUCUUCUCUGGGUGGGAUGACUCCGGCUCCUUUAAUAUCCUCUCUGUGGUUUCCUUCUCUGGAUUUGAAAGUUAAAAGUGUUAGUCGCUCAGUCAGGUCUGACUCUUUCCGACCCCAUGGUCGGCAGCCCGCCAGGCUCCUCUGUCCAUGGGAUUCUCCAGGCAGGAAUACUGGAGCGGGUGCCAUUCCCUUCUCCAGAGGAUCUUCCUGACCUGCCUAAGCAGAAUCUUGGACAAACAGUCCAGGAGAGCAGCGGUCCCCAACCUCCAGGGUCUAAUGCCUGAUGCUCUGAGGUGGAGCUGAGGCACUAAUAAUAGAAAUAAUAAUCACAGUAAAUGUAACGCCCUUGAAUCAUCCCCA